GUCUAUAUCAUCUUUCUAUAAAAUAUAAUUAAAAUAAUCAAAUUCGCUAUCUUCAAAAAUGAUUUAAUAAUUUUCAAACAUUGAAAUAUAAGAAUAUACUAUUAUCUCUCAAAUUCUUUCAGAAAUACUUUUGCAGAUGAAAACCACCUUUGGAGUAAGAUUAGAACCAAUUAAGAAUACUUUGAACAAAUUAGACAUAAAUUAGAGACAAGUCUCAUGUAAAACGAUCAUCUAAAAAAGUUGAGUCGACUCAAAAUGGAUUUGAGU
rnacentral:lncRNA from 1 species